CGUCCCUACGGGAGGCAGCAGUGAGGAAUAUUGGUCAAUGGCCGAGAGGCUGAACCAGCCAAGUCGCGUGAGGGAUGACGGCCCUACGGGUUGUAAACCUCUUUUGUCGGGGAGCAAGACCCGCCUCGUGCAGGCGGAGCGAGAGUACCCGAAGAAAAAGCAUCGGCUAACUCCGUGCCAGCAGCCGCGGUAAUACGGAGGAUGCGAGCGUUAUCCGGCUUCAUUGGGUUUAAAGGGUGCGCAGGCGGACCAUCAAGUCAGCGGGAAAAUCGUGGGGCGCAACCCCAUCCCGCCUUUGAAACUGG
rnacentral:rRNA from 1 species